rnacentral:ribozyme from 1 species
CAAACGAAGAACGGAAAGAGAAAAGAAAAAAGAACCAAGGAGAAACGACAAUAUAUCAAGCCCCCCCAAACAAACGCAUCUGUCUGUCUCUUCAUGAACAAUCCUUUCCUCGUUC